rnacentral:lncRNA from 1 species
AUGUUGAGAGGAAAGGAAUCCUACAGAGAACUUGCUGGUGACGGGGAGAUGGAGGAGGUCUCAGGAAGAACCCUCGGAGAGCUUGACCCUCUGGACUGCCCUGAGUGCUGCAGGCUGACACCUGGCCGGGAGCAAGCAUGGCGCUGUGGCUGGAGAAGGAAGUCCAGAGAAGCGUCAUUGCCCCCUGAUGGUCCCUUGAAGGCUGAGGAGUCAGAAACAAUGAGUCACUCUCCUACCGAGUAUCUUGAUUGACAGCAGGACAGACGAGAAGACGCAGUCUCAUCUUAGAAACCUCGGAGUGGCUCCGGGUGGUGGUGAGUCAUCUGGCUUCCCAAAUCCCACCUGCUCAGGUGGGAUGAGUCCAGCCACCCCGUGGAAUGCUGCAGUCUGGUUUCAUGUGGAAGGUGGUACAGCUUGAUAUGUCUCAGUGUCAUUGUCCCAGUAAAGCAAAAGGACGUGGGUCCAGUGUGGCAUCAGCAAUGUCCAUACCACAUGCCUCGGCCCUAACAGUCAGGGUAUCUUGAAAGAUAGUCCCGCAAAUCUAAGAGAGAGAAAUUUUCUUACUUUUGUUGGUUCACUGUGUUUUUAUUUUUCCAUUUAUUUUUAUUGACCUAUAGUUGUUACAAUGUUAGUUUCAGGUGUACAGCAAGAUGAUUCAGUUAUACAUAUAUCUAUAUUCUUUUUCAGAUGCUUUUCUCAUAGGGACUGGGAGUGUUUUAAUCUGAAAAAAAUAAUCCACAAGUGGUCACUUUAUGAAAUACCUUCUACAUAUCUUUGAUCCAUUUUAUAAUAGAGCCAUACACAGUGACUUCUUAUCAAUUGUUUCAAAUGUUUGACUCAGAUUCCAUUUAUUUUUUAUCAUUGUUCAUUAUACUUUAGUGUUCUCCCAGCGUCUUUGAUAGCCAGUGGGAAGAGGAUUAAAAUGUAUUUUAAAAAUCCAACAAGAUGCAGAGUUUGAGGCUUACAGGCUUGACUCAUGAUAAUAUCACUCUAAUGCUCUAUUCUUACUUAACACCUUUCAAAAAGAGGUUGAGGAAAAUCUUGAAAACAGUAACUUAAUUCUUGCAGUGUCUCUAUAAAAGCAGCAUUAUAAUCCCUGAUUUAUAAAUGAGGAAUUAGGGCUAAAAGCGGUCAAAUCACAAGCUAUAUCCUUUUACAGAUUUAUGCCCACACUUCAGAUGUCAGAAAGCCUGUAGUGCAAACCGGGUCAUUUACACACACACACACGUACACACACACACUCACAUGCGCACGCAUGCCCCAGGAUAGCACUGGGAAGAAGUGGGAGUUCUUGCUUUUCGUGGUUCAUUUCAGUCACUCAGUCAUGUCUGACUCUUUGCCACCCCAUGGACUGCAGCACCCCAGGCCUCCCUGUCCAUUGCCAACUCCCAGAGUUUACCCAAACUCAAGUCCAUUGAGUCAGUGAUGCCAUCCAACCAUCUCAUCCUCUGUUGUCCCCUUCUCCUCCUGCCUUCAAUCUUUCCCAGCAUCAGGAUCAUUUCAAAUGAGUCAGUUUUUCUAAUCAAGUGGCCAAAAUAUUGGAGUUUCAGCUUCAGCAUCAUGGUUAAAGAUAUGUUAUCCCCCCAUUUCCCCAGAGCUCACCCUGUGCUCCCUUCCCCCCUCCCCCAUUGAGCAGAGCUGCCUCCCCCAUUCCCGGCACAGGUAGAUAACAUACCCCUACUCUCAGAACCUAGAUAACACCCCAUCAUACACUGCUUGCUAACUUCCAGCCACCAAUGCACCACUCAGCAAGCACUGACUCAGUGAAAACCACCAUCCCGCUCUAUGGAAUCAGACAUGAAGACCCCCAGCCAAGCUGCAGAGCCAGGACCAUGCGGUCCUCCCAGCUGGGCUCAGGCCCCUCGAGGGGAGGCCAAACUCAGUCCUUUGCUCUGUGCCAGGCGCUAGGAGGCAGGAGUCCUGAG